AGCUAGCAUUACAGAUAAGUGGAAUGAGGUAAUAAUCAGGCUUACUUUGAAAACAUCAAAAAAUCAAUUAAUUCUUUUGAACAUAUAUCAAACCAUAAUCAAUAUUUCUUAAUUGUGCAGAACUUCAACAAUUCAUCUGCUAUAACCGAAGGCAUGAUAAGGCAGAUAAGGCACGAGUGCGCAACUUAUCUUAUCCAAAA
rnacentral:lncRNA from 1 species